UCAGGAUGAACGCUAGCGGCAGGCUUAACACAUGCAAGUCGAGGGGCAGCGAGGUAGCAAUACCUGUCGGCGACCGGCGGAAGGGUGCGUAACGCGUGAGCAACUUGCCCGUAUCUGGGGGAUAAGCGGUGGAAACGUCGUCUAAUACCCCAUAACAACAGAGGCUGCAUGACCUUUGUUGAAAGAUUGAUCGGAUACGGAUAGGCUCGCGAGACAUUAGCUAGUUGGUGAGGUAACGGCUCACCAAGGCGACGAUGUCUAGGGGUUCUGAGAGGAAGGUCCCCCACAUUGGAACUGAGACACGGUCCAAACUCCUACGGGAGGCAGCAGUGAGGAAUAUUGGUCAAUGGGCGGAAGCCUGAACCAGCCAUGCCGCGUGCAGGAAAAUAAGGCCCUAUGGGUCGUAAACUGCUUUUGUGGUGGAGCAAUAAGACGUACGUGUACGUCGAUGAGAGUACAUCACGAAUAAGCAUCGGCUAACUCCGUGCCAGCCGCCGC
rnacentral:rRNA from 1 species